CGGCGGAGAGCGGAGCCGAGCGCGCCAGGCCCGCGAGCCAGGCCGCCGCUCCGGGGACAGCCGGGCGCCCACCAGCGGAUCCCUCUUCGGGUCUCUGCAGGGAUGACAUCAUCGGCUCACCCCCAGGCUUCCAGGCCCACCUCUGCUGGACGCCACGUUGCUGCCGCUCGACUCCACCCUACGAGGGCGCUGGGAAGAGCACGUCCAGGGACCCGGACGCAAAGGAGGACGAGGACCGAGGCCAUCUACCGGGCCUGACCCGCCCCACACUGAAACCUAUGCCCUAGUGAGGGGGCACUGGUCACAGCCCCCAGCCUCUGCUGUGCCUGUCCUUGACUCUGAACUCUUGUCUGUGUCUGUGCUCGCGACCUGGGGCGGUUCCCUCCCCAGGGGGUGUCAGUCUUCCCCGACUGACUGUCUCUGGCCUCACCAUGUCCUGACGGAAGGAUCCCUUUGGGGACCCCUCAGGAGGGGGACCUGGGCCAAGGGCCGGGCCAGCACCUCACUGGCAACUCCAAGGCCCCGGGUGGGCUUCUGGAAUGCGCAUGUUACCCCCCACCCACGGCAUGCCCCCACCCUCACCCUGUCCUUUCCCCGGGCAUGGGGACCAUAGGAGCAACCUCCUAGGGUUGUUGUGAGAAUUAAAUGACCUAUAGCAGCCCCGGGCAGGGUCGGGUAUAACGGCGAUCUGGGAAAGGCUUGGCGGCUGUGGCCCCCCGCCUCACGUGGCUUACUGGUCUCCUUCUGCAGCAGACUCCCACCAGCCCCUGUCCGCGGGGCGCUCCUCACGCCAGGUAGGGCCCCGCAGGACGGGCACGUGUGUGUGUGUGGCCCUUUCCAGAGCACUGAGUCCUAGGGGUUGGGGACAAGUGUGUAAGGUGUGUGUUGCCAGGCAGCGUCCCGCCCCACGGGGCCUGUGUUUGCUCUGGGGCUCUGCUGCCUCCGGAGGUCGGCGGCCCCUAGGAGGCCCCUGGGCGGCCCCUGGGAGGCCCCUGGGAGGCCCCUGGGCAGCCCCUGGGAGGCCUUACUCAGGUCCAGGAAGGAAGUGGGCGGAGUGUAAGUGGUCACUCUCAGCGUAGGCACGCGGAGGGCCGGGAGCUGGGAUUCCGGGCGCCAUUGUGGCCGCCCCGCCUCCCCCGUGGCCCCUGGCCCGAGCUCCCCCAGCAGUCAGUCGUCUGGCAGUGGAACCCUCUGGGGUUCCAGGUGGCCCCGUGCUGGCUUAACUGCUCCAAGGCUCGGCGCCUUUCACGGUCUAAAUGGGGACAAAGUCCCACGGUUUGUGGCUGCCGUGAGGGUGCAUUGUACACUGCUGUGGAAAUCUAAGACCCCAGACCCCCGAGGGCCAGGCCUGUGCCCCUCACAGUGGCAAAGCCAGCACCCGGUAGGUGCCGCGUGCGUGCUCAGUAAAGACAUUCCAGAGCGGCGGCUACAGCCCUGCCGAGAAUGGGCAGGGUCUCCGAGAAUGGGCAGGGUCUCCGGCCACUAAUUGGGGCCUUCCCUUGGUCCCCUUUCAAGCCGGCCAGUUUUGUCCGGACAAGACAAAACCAAGGCCUCCCCCCAUGCUUUAGAGAAGCCUGCUCAGUGUAGUCAAUAGCCCCCCAGUGUAGACAAUAGCCCCCCGGGCGUCUGAAAGGGACUGAUGGGAUUAUGUGGUGAUUGGAGGUGGAAGGGUGACUUGGGAGGUGACAAAUGCAGUGGGCGGGGACCGGCUGUGAGCAGGGACCCCUUUGUCUGGCGGUCUGGCAGCAGCUUUGGCUGGGUUUGGAGGAGGUCCCAGGCUGGGAGUCUGGCAGCCCGUGAGGCCGGGGGUGACCCCGCGCGUCCCCCUCCGCAGUCUGGGGAGCCCUUUUGGCCACCGAACGUUCAUUUGAUCCUCACGACUCCCUGUCCUGACGCCAGGGCUGGCCUGCCACCUCCCACGGACUCAGAGGCUCUCAAGCGGCCCCUCAGCUUGGGCCCCCGUACCCUCGCCCCAAGAGGGGCGCGCGCGUGUCCCACGUGCACCCCCCAGCUCCCGACUGCGCUCCCUGCGGUCCGGAGCCUCCCAGGCUCCCCCUGUCCUGUUUAGCUCCUCCAGGCUCUGUGUUUCCUUCACAGCUGUGCCUCUCCAAGGCCUGUCCACCCUCGCUGUCCUCCUUCCUCACCUCCAACCUCCUCUCCAGUUCACUGCUCCUGACUCGCUCUGUCCCGUGGCGCGCCUCUCACCAAGGUAACGUUUCCCGUGGCGGCACAUGUUCGCGCCCUGGGGACACAUGUGGCCUGGCGGCCGCACAGAGCCCACACACCAGGUCUCCCAGCUUCUGGAACUUGCCUCCUCUGCCUAAGUGCCGAGGGUUAAGCUGCCUGGUGUCGGCACCUUGGGGUAGGCCUCUCUUGCUUGCUCUGUUGGAAAGGGAGGUUCAUGGCCUCCCCUCCCUGCCCCCCCACGGCUCCGGUGGGCCAUCCUGCAGGUAAGGCACAGAUGAGCUGUGUGGAGGAGGAAGCAGGGAGGGGGGGCUGUGGGUGAGCACAAAGAAUAAUUAAAAGAAAGCAUUAAGACCCCCCCCAAAAAAAAAAACAAACAAAAAAAACCCCAGAAAACCCUUCUCCUGGGUUAGGUUGAGCUUAAGGUUUUAAACUGAUUAUCCCGAAGACAGAUCCUAGGAAGCUCUUGAAUGAAGUGGCCCCAUUUCCGGUUCUUAGCCCUUGCACCCCGGUGACCCCUGCCCUUGCCAGCACCCCCUUGGCUGCUGGUGAAAUCCCAGAGGGCCGCCAGGGCGAGCCUCCCUCCCCCCAGCUGCGGCUGCAGCUUUCCCCUGCCUUGGGCCGGGGGAAGGCAGAGGCUGCAGGCCUUAAUGAGGUGGCUCCUGGCCUCCUGUAAGGAGCCUCCUUUGUCUGGGGAGGAAGAACACUGAUUAUCAUAACGAGGCGACCCAUGGCCAGGGCCCCGCCAAGAGGGCGUUUGAGCCGUGCUCGCUCCCUGCCCCUCCCCUCUGGCACCCACCUCCUGGUAUCCUCCUCCCCAGGACCGUGCCUACCCCGAAGCCACUUGAGCCCUUGAGAUCCCCAGUUUGGAAAGUUCUGGACGCCUCACCCCAAGGCAGAUCCGUCAAGGCUAGAGGGGUCCAGUGCACGUGAGGCUGUAGCCGGAGCCUGGGCCAGGUGGACAAAGCCCAGGGGAGGAGGGGGUGCCAGAACCGAGGCAGCAAAUCAGCCCCCUUGUAAAGAAUGCCCCGGAAGCUGGGGGUGACCUUCCACCCCUCUUCCAAGUGGCCAGGAUGCAGUGGCCUGCCCCAUCUAGGGGGGCUUUGGGCUGAGGGCUCAGGCCUGAAAAUGGGUAUCCCAAGGAUGCCCAGCCCAGCCCUGUCCUGCAGGCAGGCAGCCCAGAGGCACUGAGGGCAGUCCCCAGAGCCAGUACCACCCCACCCCCCAGCCCAGGGCAGGCACGGGGGCACGGAGAGCGAGUGCGAGCCUUGGCGCCCCCAGCCCACUGCUGCAGGGCUGUUGGGUCCAGGCAGCUCCCUCACCCUCUCCUGAGGCCACUAGCCCAGGGACCCACUGUAGGAGUGGCCCCUGUGGGGACACAGCUCUUGGCCAGGUGCACAGGGUCGCCUACCCCCACGAGUCCAGGCCUGUGCUCUGGUUUCCUGGCUUCCUCUGUUGGUCUUUGGACCUCAGGUCCAUCCUGGAGUUCAGGGAGCAAAGGGGAAACAUGGCUUCCCCCAGGAGGGAGACAAGGGGCGCCCCACCCCCACCAUGCUGCAUCUACUGCCCCUCCCACUGCCUGUGUCCUCUCAGCUUUCCCUGUGUCUCCCCUUCCAUCUCCAGCUCCCAUCCACCUAUCUCUCCCUCUCUGGUCCUCCGAAAUUUAAAAUGUGGCCCCUGGGGUGCCCUAGGCCCGCCCCCCCUCCUCUGGGUGUCCCAGCCCUAGCCUGACAAAAAGUGGGGCUCCGUAAGAGUAUGUGGGACGUCAGUUUGGCCAGGUGAGUGAGUGCACGGGCGCGACUGCCACUCCCCAGCAGCCAGGCGGGCCCCAGGGUCAGCUGCAGGCCAGGAGGGUGGCGGGCGGGCCGGGCACCCGGGAGUGGGCAGCUUUCCCCCCGCAGCCCUAUUGAGGGCUCCCAGGUCGCGCCCUGCACUGACCCGCGCGUCCAUUCGGUCAUCCAACAGUUGAUCCUCACCGAGCAAGCCCACAGUCGUGGCCCCGGGCUUGGCACCCGCCACCUAGCUUGUCCCUUGAUGGCCUCUGCUUCCCGGGAGGGGCAGGCCGGGAGGUUGUCCCAGUGCUGGAGUGCGGGCUCCGGCUCUGGAGAGCUGGCAAGAGGGUGCAGGCGGGCCUGGGUGGCCUUGGCCCCAAAGCUGCCCGCUGCUAGGGCUCUGCCUCUGCGUAGAGCUGGCACCUGCCCCCUCUGCCUCCCCACCCCCUUCCUCCAGCGAGUGGACAGCUGUUCUGACCCCUGGCCUGAGCCGCUCAGGGCCGAGUGGGCGCACGGGAACAGCUGUGGUGUGUCCCAGGCUCUGGCCUCACGGUCUCCCUCUCGAGGUGGGGUCUGUAACCUGGACCAUGUCCCACCCUGACUCCUUCCUCCCCCUGGGGCCCAGUCCAGCUCGGAGCCUGCUGGUCGCUGGCUGGGGCCUGGGUCCCUUUGCAAAGCACCCAGGGCUGGGAACGUCCAGGGAGCUCCUGCAGGUGUCGCUCUCCGCUCCGCCCGCGGCCCCUCUUUUCUCUGCUGGCCGGGUCGACCGCCUACCUGGUGCUCUGCUUACCUCUCUGUGGUCACGGUGCCAGGCCUCCUGUCGCCCCCUUCUCCACCUGCCCUGUCCACCCAGAAGGCUGCUUCUCCUUGCCGUGCUUAUACCUGUGGCCACCUGGGCUGGCCUGCUGCCUUCUGUCCUGCCCAGCCCGCUCCGCGAUGCCUCGGUUUCCCGCAGGUUCCUCAGGUGCCUUCCAGGGUCUGGGUGGCUGUGGCCGGGUCCUGUCCUGUCUUGCUGGCUGGUGUACCCCGGUGGGUGUCACCUGUGGCCCGGCCGGGCUGCCUGCUGACUGGUUGGUUUUGGGGCUCCUCUCUAGGCCUGUAGCGGCCCUUCUGCACCUCUUCCUACCACGGCUUGCCCCCAGGAGCCACCCCACUCUGCUGAAAGGCCAGCAGCCGGGCCAGCACCAUCCUCGGCGUGAGCGCCACGACCCGACCGGGACAGCUGAGGGACUACGGCUGGACAGAUGGACGACGUGGGAGCCCCUGCAAGGACCCCCUCGGACCCCAGCCCAGCAUGUGUGGAUGAGACUCUCGCCGCCCCCUGGACCACGUCGGAGCCGUCGCCGGGAAUCCUGCGAGGGAAGGGACCGCCGCGGACACCUCCCCCCAGCACCCCACCCCCAGCUCUGAACCCCUCCACAGACACAGGGACGCCCUGCACGCCUGCCCACGGGACGGGCUGGACCCAAAGACUGGAGCUGGGGCCUCCCCCUGGAUAGAGACCCACCCUCUGACUGAUGGACUUCGCCGAGCCGGGGUCAGCCUCGCAGGCGUGACCCCGUCCACCUACCCCUUGAAUCCUGAGACUUGAAAGCUGCUGACCUUCACGUUCACGUCCGUGAAAUGGGCCGGGACACCUACCUCACAGGGCUGUUGUGAGGCUGUUGUGCUAUAAUGAGAAGCACGCUGCUGGGCGCACACCCAUGUGCUCUCAAUAAACGUGUUUCUUGUCUUAACAAAACCA